rnacentral:rRNA from 1 species
AAUUUCCUACGGGGGGCAGCAGUGGGGAAUAUUGCACAAUGGGGGAAACCCUGAUGCAGCAACGCCGCGUGAGUGAAGAAGUAUUUCGGUAUGUAAAGCUCUAUCAGCAGGGAAGAAGAUGACGGUACCUGACUAAGAAGCCCCGGCUAACUACGUGCCAGCAGCCGCGGUAAUACGUAGGGGGCAAGCGUUAUCCGGAUUUACUGGGUGUACAGGGAGCGUAGACGGCAUAGCAAGUCUGAAGUGAAAGCCCAAGGCUCAACCAUGGGACUGCUUUGGAAACUGUUAAGCU